UAUCGGUUCCUUCGCGACGACCAACCGUGAACCCCGUCAGGCCCGGAAGGGAGCAGCGGCAGCGGCGAUGUCGGGUGCCGAAGUUCGGCUGGUGCGG
rnacentral:SRP_RNA from 1 species